AUGCUCAUUUCAGCAGCAUGCAUACUAAAACUGUAACAAUACAGAGAAGAUGAGCAUGGCCCCUGUGCAAGGAUGACACUCAAAUUCAUGAAGUGUUCCAUAUUUGU